rnacentral:rRNA from 1 species
UACGUAGGGGGCUAGCGUUGUCCGGAUUUAUUGGGCGUAAAGAGCGUGUAGGCGGCCAGGUAGGUCUGCUGUGAAAACUCGAGGCUCAACCUCGAGAUGUCGGCGGAAACCAUCUGGCUAGAGUCCGGAAGAGGAGAGUGGAAUUCCUGGUGUAGCGGUGAAAUGCGCAGAUAUCAGGAGGAACACCUGUGGCGAAAGCGGCGCACUGGACCACAACUGACGCUGAGGCGCGAAAGCUAGGGGAGCAAACAGG